UACGAAGGGGGCUAGCGUUGUUCGGAAUCACUGGGCGUAAAGGGCGCGUAGGCGGCUUUAUAAGUCGGGGGUGAAAGCCUGUGGCUCAACCACAGAAUUGCCUUCGAUACUGUAUGGCUUGAGACCGGAAGAGGUAAGUGGAACUGCGAGUGUAGAGGUGAAAUUCGUAGAUAUUCGCAAGAACACCAGUGGCGAAGGCGGCUUACUGGUCCGGUUCUGACGCUGAGGGCGCGAAAAGCGUGGGGGAGCAAACAGG
rnacentral:rRNA from 1 species